rnacentral:rRNA from 1 species
UACGAAGGGGGCUAGCGUUGCUCGGAAUCACUGGGCGUAAAGCGCACGUAGGCGGAUUGUUGAGUCAGGGGUGAAAUCCUGGAGCUCAACUCCAGAACUGCCUUUGAUACUGGCGAUCUUGAGUUCGGGAGAGGUGAGUGGAACUGCGAGUGUAGAGGUGAAAUUCGUAGAUAUUCGCAAGAACACCAGUGGCGAAGGCGGCUCACUGGCCCGAUACUGACGCUGAGGUGCGAAAGCGUGGGGAGCAAACAGG